UACGAAGGUCCCGAGCGUUGUUCGGAAUCACUGGGCGUAAAGGGAGCGUAGGCGGCGUGGUAAGUCAGAUGUGAAAUCCCGGGGCUCAACCCCGGAACUGCAUCCGAUACUGCCAUGCUGGAGCAAUGGAGAGGUAGCUGGAAUUCUUGGUGUAGCAGUGAAAUGCGUGGAGAUCAAGAGGAACACUCGUGGCGAAGGCGAGCUACUGGACAUUUGCUGACGCUGAGGCUCGAAGGCCAGGGUAGCGAAAGGG
rnacentral:rRNA from 1 species